UACGAAGGGGGCUAGCGUUGUUCGGAUUUACUGGGCGUAAAGCGCACGUAGGCGGAUUGUUAAGUCAGAGGUGAAAUCCCAGGGCUCAACCCUGGAACUGCCUUUGAUACUGGCAAUCUUGAGUCCGAGAGAGGUGAGUGGAAUUCCUAGUGUAGAGGUGGAAUUCGUAGAUAUUAGGAAGAACACCAGUGGCGAAGGCGGCUCACUGGCUCGGUACUGACGCUGAGGUG
rnacentral:rRNA from 1 species